GUUUGGAAAAUUGCAAAGCAUGGAAGGAUCUUUCUUGUCUUGGACAGCUACCGAAUCUCAAGAACCUUUACGUGGGGGGAAUGCCUGCAGUGAAACAAAUAAGUCAUAGAUUAAGUACAGAGAGCAAGUUCUUGCCUAAUCUGGAAAGGCUAGUGCUGAAGGACAUGAUGGCACUGGAGGAACUCCCGAGUCUUGGACAACUGCCGAGUCUCAAGGUUCUUCGCAUCGAGAGAAUGCCAGCAGUGAAGAAGGUGGGCUAUGGAUUCUUUGGUUCUAGAGACCAAGGCAAGUGUCUUCCUAGCUUGGAGAAGCUCAAGUUCAGGGACAUGCCAGAAUUGGAAGAGUGGUCUUGGGCCGAUGGUCGACGGCUGUUUCCCUGCUUGCGAAUUCUUGAAAUUGUAGAAUGCCUGAGGCUUAAGAGGUUGCCACCCCUCCCUCCAGUUGAAACAUUAAGAUUAGAUAAAGUCGGAUUGACAGAAGUUGCAGGGUUACGGGAAGGAAUCCAUGGAGGCGACAGUUGUAUAACUGCUUCUCUUUCAUCAAUGGAAAUAAGUCAAUGUCUAAAUCUAAGAAAUCUGGAAGAAGGGUUGCUAUCGCACAGCUUCCCAAAUAUCGGUGACAUUGCGAUCUUGGAAUGUGCGGAACUCGUGUUGCUGCCGGAGAAGGAGUUUAAAGAACUCACCUCCCUUAAGAAGUUGUCAAUCCGCAGUUGCCCGAAGCUCUUGAGCAUGACGCGAGAUGGGGACAUUGACAUCCCCCUCCCACCCUCGAUCGAGGAACUAGUGCUGUUUGACUGUGGGAAUAUGUGAAAAUUACUACCGGGCUGCCUGCACAACUUGACCUCACUCACUCGAUUGGAAAUAGGCGACUGCCGGUGCAUAGAGUCUCUUCCAGCAACGUCGCUGCUUCACCUGAAACGACUUCAAUAUCUGAAAUUUUGGAAAUGUGGUGAGCUGAGAUCAAAAGACGAGUUGUUGCUGAAUGAAGGGAUCAAGCAAGUGGAGGGUUCGUCGGUAACUGAAUUAUACAUCGACGGCACAG
rnacentral:lncRNA from 1 species